rnacentral:rRNA from 1 species
GACGAACCGUGCGAACGUUGUUCGGAAUCACUGGGCUUAAAGGGCGCGUAGGCGGCUGCGCAAGUCCAGGGUGAAAGCCUCCAGCUCAACUGGAGAAGUGCCUUGGAAACUGUGCAGCUCGAGCGAGGUAGGGGUGAUGGGAACUUCCGGUGGAGCGGUGAAAUGCGCAGAUAUCAGGAGGAACACCGGUGGCGAAGGCGGAUCUCUGGGCCAUUACUGACGCUGAGGAGCGAAAGCGUGGGGAGCGAACAGG